rnacentral:rRNA from 1 species
UACGUAGGGGCCUAGCGUUGUCCGGAAUUAUUGGGCGUAAAGCGCACGUAGGCGGCUUCUUAAGUCAGGGGUGAAAUCCUGGAGCUCAACUCCAGAACUGCCUUUGAUACUGAGGAGCUUGAGUCCGGGAGAGGUGAGUGGAACUGCGAGUGUAGAGGUGAAAUUCGUAGAUAUUCGCAAGAACACCAGUGGCGAAGGCGGCUCACUGGCCCGGUACUGACGCUGAGGUGCGAAAGCGUGGGGAGCAAACAGG